rnacentral:rRNA from 1 species
CAGUAGCCACGGGAAUACAGAGGGUGCGAGCGUUAAUCGGAUUUACUGGGCGUAAAGCGUGCGUAGGCGGCUUCUUAAGUCGGAUGUGAAAUCCCUGAGCUUAACUUAGGAAUUGCAUUCGAUACUGGGAAGCUAGAGUAUGGGAGAGGAUGGUAGAAUUCCAGGUGUAGCGGUGAAAUGCGUAGAGAUCUGGAGGAAUACCGAUGGCGAAGGCAGCCAUCUGGCCUAAUACUGACGCUGAGGUACGAAAGCGUGGGGAGCAAACAGGAUUAGAUACCCGGGUAGUCCCUGUCUCUUAUAC